rnacentral:lncRNA from 1 species
ACCAACUCCUUUGAAAUUUUUACCACGAACAACGGGGUUUUGAUCCCUCAUUUUUAUGUUGGUACGUAGGUAUUAGAUUGAAGGUAUUGUCAAACACAAAAAUAUAAUUAAUGAAUUCUUUUCUCAUCCUCCCACUCUAUAUUUUUAUCAAACAUCAUCUUGACCAAAACACUUGCACACAAAAAAGGGCUCCCUAGGAGUACCUAGGACACUUUGGGUGCUAACACCUUCCCUCUGUGUAACCAAC